AUACGUAGGUGGCGAGCGUUAUCCGGAAUUAUUGGGCGUAAAGGGUGCGCAGGCGGCUAUUUAAGUCCGUGGUAAAAGACUGAAGCUCAACUUCAGUAAGCCGCGGAAACUGGAUGGCUAGAGUGCAGGAGAGGGUAGCGGAAUUCCAUGUGUAGCGGUAAAAUGCGUAGAUAUAUGGAGGAACACCAGUGGCGAAAGCGGCUACCUGGCCUGUAACUGACGCUCAUGCACGAAAG
rnacentral:rRNA from 1 species